AGAAACAGUCAGGUUAGGAUCAGGCAGUCAGUGAGAAACAGUCAGGUUAGGAUCAGGCAGUCAGUGAGAAACAGUCAGGUGUGCCAAACAGAAUCCACUCCGUUCAGCACCAUGGACAGCAGCUGUUCGGAACGCGACAACUCCGUGGCAACAACACAGCAACGCAUCACAGUCUCCCCACAAAGCGAUCCGUGGGCGGUGUUUGACACCCGGUAGCGGCUGGGGAGCGUGGGGGCUGGCUGGCUGUCAUCUGUUUCACCGGCACGUUUCACGAAGAGGAGCAGCCAGGCGCCCACCUACCGUUGUUUUGUUUUUUUAAAACCUCCAGAUUGACUUCCGUUUACGCUUUCACCGCUCUUAGGGUCAGCUCACGAGACUGGACUGGACUAAAACAUUGAGAUUUCAGAAAACAAACCGGGUUUGAAAAACGGGAUAUAUAUAUUUUUAAUUUGUGCUUUUCGGUGUGUGAGUGAGGGAGCAAAAGAGAGAGGAGAGAGGGAGCGUGUAAGUGUCGUGUUGUUUGUGUCGGUGUUUCGGCUAAACCGCUUUAUGUGUUUGUGUGCAGCUGGCUAUGGGUCUGUAUGAGUGUGUGUGGAGUGUGUUCGCUCUGGACUGGAGGGGAUAACCAAGAAAAAUGUCAGCGUGUCAACAACAACAACAACAACAACAGAGGCAGGCUAACGGUCGGAUGUGUACUUGCCUUUUCUCUCAUACCGGGAGAUAGAAAAGGCGCUCGUUCAUUCAGGAAGGAGGAGGACGUUACCGGAAUACCUAAGAGACGAGUGGAACUGAACCGUCUUCCCGCCUGUCUGACUGACUGUCUGUCUGCCUGGCUAACGUGAAUGAAAUCUAGAGGAGGAGGAGAGCGUUUCUAUCCACAGCCGUCAAGAAUUCAAUCGACGGAUGAAGAUGGAGUCAUUCCGCCGCUGUGGACGUUAAACGGACGUUAGGUCUGGAGAGGCUGGUUGGGGAAGUUGAGCUGAGGAGACUGAACGGGGGAAAGAGGGAGAGGCGGAUCGUGAAGCUGACAGGGACGCAGACCAGCCCAGCCUUGGAUUUCAACAGGAGAUUCCAAGAAGAAGAGAAAUAUGUGGCGUCACCGCUGCCGCCAGUCUAGUCUGUGGUGGAGUCUUGAGCCAGUGGUCGUUAAAACGACCCGGCUUGAUCAGUGAAGCCCCGAGCCUUCUCUCUCUCUCUCUCUCUCUCUCUCUCUCUCUCUCUCUCUCUCUCUACCUCGCUCUUCCUUUCCCUUCUCUUUAAAUGUAAAUUACAUCGGUUGUUUCUCAGUAAGUAAGCUGUCUCGUGACGUGAGAUACUCAAAACCGUCAAUGAAGAUGUUGAUGUGUGACCGGGGCGUCCAGAUGCUGGUGACCACCGUGGGGGCGUUCGCCGCCUUCAGCCUCAUGACGAUAGCGGUCGGGACCGAUUACUGGCUGUACUCACGAGGGACGUGCAAAAGCAAAAGCACCAAUGACAACGACACAAGCCGGAAGAACGAAGAGGUGAUGACUCACUCUGGUCUGUGGCGAACCUGCUGUCUGGAAGGAACGUUCCGAGGUGUGUGUAAGAAGAUCGACCACUUCCCAGAGGCCACAGAUUAUGAGGCAGACGCUGCAGAAUACCUUCUACG